UACAGAGGGGGCAAGCGUUGUUCGGAAUUACUGGGCGUAAAGGGCGCGUAGGCGGCCUGUUAAGUCGAAUGUGAAAUCCCCGGGCUCAACUCGGGAACUGCGUCCGAUACUGGCAGGCUUGAAUUCGGGAGAGGGAUGCGGAAUUCCAGGUGUAGCGGUGAAAUGCGUAGAUAUCUGGAGGAACACCGGUGGCGAAGGCGGCGAUCUGGGAAGAUACUGACGCUGAGGUGCGAAAGCGUGGGGAGCAAACAGG
rnacentral:rRNA from 1 species